GGGGGUAUAGCUCAGAUGGGAGAGCACCUGCCUUGCACGCAGGGGGUCAAGAGUUCGAUUCUCUUUACCUCCACCA
rnacentral:tRNA from 1 species